rnacentral:misc_RNA from 1 species
GAUGAAGAACGCAGCGAAAUGCGAUAAGUAGUGUGAAUUGCAGAAUUCAGUGAAUCAUCGAAUCUUUGAACGCACAUUGCGCCCUUUGGUAUUCCAAAGGGCAUGCCUGUUCGAGCGUCAUUUGUACCCUCAAGCUUUGCUUGGUGUUGGGCGUCUUGUCUCCAGUUCGCUGGAGACUCGCCUUAAAGUAAUUGGCAGCCGGCCUACUGGUUUCGGAGCGCAGCACAAGUCGCGCUCUCUUCCAGCCAAGGUCAGCAUCCACAAAGCCUUUUUUCAACUUUUGACCUCGGAUCAGGUAGGGAUACCCGCUGAACUUAAGCACAUCAAUAAGCGGAGGA